GCAGAAUGGGUCGCUUAGCGAGUCCCAAGAAAAGCCACCAGAAUCACCUACGCUCAGAGGAAUUUCUUGAAUUGUCAUGCUCGCUAGGCGAAGCCCACGUGUUUAAAAAAAACGAAAAAAAAUGAAAAAUAAAUAAAUAAAUAAAAUAUAACAGAAAAAUUUUGGACUUGGGCCUCUCUCAUUUUAGCCCACAGGUCCACAAAAAUCAGGUUAUAAAUUCAGAGUUUCAGUGAAACAAAAGGCCAUUCCAUUCCUAUUACCCUGG
rnacentral:lncRNA from 1 species